AUCCAACCGACGAGUCCCGAAUUGGACGAAACGCUCUUUAAACUGGAU
rfam:Schistosoma margrebowiei strain Zambia genome assembly, scaffold: SMRZ_scaffold0001285